UACGUAGGGGGCUAGCGUUGUCCGGAAUCAUUGGGCGUAAAGCGCGUGUAGGCGGUCCGGUAAGUCCGCUGUGAAAGUCAGAGGCUCAACCUCUGGAGGCCAAUGGAUACUGCCGGGCUAGAGUCCGGAAGAGGCGAGUGGAAUCCGUGGUGUAGCGGUGAAAUGCGCAGAUAUCGGGAAGAACACCCGUGGCUAAGGCGGCUCUCUAGUACGGUACUGACGCUGAGACGCGAAAGCGUGGGGAGCGAACGAGG
rnacentral:rRNA from 1 species